rnacentral:misc_RNA from 1 species
UCAUGCACGAGUUCAUCAAGAGUUUUUUCCUUCUGGGACAUAGAGAAAUUCCUUAAUGCAGGAGGGACUUGAGACAAAUCACCCUGAGAUUGUGAUCCCAUCCCUCUAUGAACCUGAUUCUCUAGCCGUAUAUUGAGAGCAUCAAUUGUAGAAAUGCUACCCUGGGCUGUGGCAUCCUGCAUUAUUGCUUCUAUAACACCCUUAUAAAAAGUAAUCUGCGGAACAGAGUAUUUGGUUCCAAGCUUGGAUUGCUCAUCAGAAACAUUAUUGACAAGUCCAUAGCAAACUUGACCAUCAUUCUGGUUUCUGCAGCGACGCAACUCCAUCUGAACAUAUGAAAGUUCCUUGUUU